AUGUCAUAUAUCUCAGGAGCUAGAUCACUUCCUGAUGAACAAGUAAGAAUUGCCUCAACAAAAAUGGAUGGAAUUGGACCGAAAAAAUCCAUUCAGCUUCGUUAUCGAUUAGGUAUCAAUGGGAACAUCAAGAUGAAUGAGUUAACUAAGUAUCAGAUCAACCAAAUUGAACAAAUGAUAGCUCAAGAUCAUGUUGUACAUUGGGAAUUGAAGAGGGGAGAAUGA
rnacentral:rRNA from 1 species